CUCGGUGUAGCACAGCUUGGUAGUGCGCUUGUUUUGGGUACAAGAGGUCGUUGGUUCAAAUCCAGCCAUCGAGACCA
rnacentral:tRNA from 1 species